GUGUCAGCCGCCGCGGUAAUACGUAGGUGGCGAGCGUUGUCCGGAUUCAUUGGGCGUAAAGAGCGCGUAGGCGGCUUGCCAGGUCUGAUGUGAAAGCCUGGGGCUCAACCCCAGAACUGCAUCGGAAACCGGUUUGCUAGAGUCUGGGAGAGGGGAGUGGAAUUCCUGGUGUAGCGGUGAAAUGCGUAGAUAUCAGGAGGAAGGCCUGUGGCGAAGGCGGCCCUCUGGCGCUCAACUGACGCUGAGGCGCGAAAGCGGGGGUAGCAAACAGGAUUAGAUACCCUGGUAGUCCACGCCCUAAACGGUGGGCACUAGGUGUGGGGCUCGAGAGGGUUCCGUGCCGAAGGGAAACCAAUAAGUGCCCCGCCUGGGGAGUACGGCCGCAAGGUUGAAACUUAAAGGAAUUGACGGGG
rnacentral:rRNA from 1 species